AGGGUUAGGGCCGGCGGUUUUGCAGCUCACCUGGGGAAGCCAGCAGCACCUUCGCCCCGCAGCAUUGAAAGCAGUGCAGCAGAGACUUGGCACGGAUGUUGUAGUUGAGGCACGCCAUGGGACAGCCCAGUUUGAGCAGUCCCAGCCAGAUCCACACGUAGGCCGGCUCAUUGCCCAUGAAGAGGGCUACGCAAUCCCCCUGUCGUAGGCCCAGCUGAUCGUGCAGCGCCCGCGCCACUUGGUUGCUGCGCCGGUCCACCUGGGCGUAGGUGAGCGUCUCGUCUCGGAACAGCAGGAAGGGCUUGUGUGGGGUCUUGCGCGCUUGAUCCAGGAAGGCCCGCAGGAUGGUACGCACGGGUCGCCGCUGCCGGUAGCUGCGCACCCGCCGGGCCAUGUUGGCCAGCCGCAGGAAGUACCGCACAUCUUGGAGGAGGUAGGGGCAGCAGCAGGUAAGUGUAGCUACCACGUCUAUCAAAGAAGCUUCUCUUUACAGCGAAUGGAAAGCACAACUGGACAUAAGGCAGAGAUCAGUGGUUGGUGGGGGCCAAAUGGCUACAUCUGCAGCAUGGCACCUGCAUCUUUGACUCAGGGGACAUAGCAGAGGAGAUCUGAAAGAUUGAAAGAGCUGAAACAUCAGGGAGUCUGCUGAAAGACUGUCUUUUCAGAAUGCUGAAAAUAAAACUCCUAUGUGACUCAGCUGUUCUGCCCCCAUGAACAUACCCAAAGAACUCCACAUCCUACAGAGAUACUUAUUUAUUUACGGUUACUGCUGCACUAUUCACAAACCACAAGGAAAUGGAAGCAGCCUAAAUGCCCAUACACAGUGAAAACGUAGUCCAUAUCCACCAUGGGAUUUUAUUCAGCUAUAAAGAUAAGCGCCUUCCAAUCCUAUUCAAAGAAGCUUCUCUUUACACCAAUGUGGACCGUUACAGAGCACCACAGCUGGACACAAGAGGGAGACAAUGGUUCCUGGGAACCCGAGUGCCCGUGGGCAGAGCAUCAUCACAGCUCCUGCAUCUCUGGCCCAGGAAACACAGAGGAAGAGGUGGUGGGAAGACUACCAGGAAGUCUGCCAUGAGACUGUCUCUCAUAGAAAUGGCUGCACAAACAGGACCAGAACAACGGGCAGUAUCAGGUGAAAUGGUAACGUGGAAGCCGGUAAUCUCAUGCGGUUCAUUCCCUAGGCAAAGACCUACAGACAAUAAUUGCUAAGAGAGGGAGAAUUAGCUUCUCCCUGAGACGAUCCCCCUGAGAUAGCCACCCCGAAGUCCCACCCUCACAAUCAACACACAGAGACGCUGCAGACUGUACUUACAUAUCUGCACGUCUCAAUAGUAAUCAAAGAAAAAGAGGCUAUCCAUUUGAGAGCAAGGGAGGGGACAGUGAAAGGGUUGGAGGCAGGGGACUCGGGAGGGGUUGGAGAGAGGUUAGGAAAAGCAGGGAGUGAUGCAAUUACCCUUUGAUUAAAAUGGAUUAAACUUAAUAUAGUAAAGUAAUUCUACCCUCUGCCUGUCAGGGCAUACUGUGUACCUUCUCCUGAAACUCACCAAACCCAUUUGUUUCUGCAUAAACUUCUUAUAUUUCCUCUUUGCAAGAACAAUCACUUAAGCACAUUCUAUUAUUUUUUUCAUUUUUAUUUUGUUGUGCAAAAAAAUAUUUUCAUUCUGAAUUCCUUUUAUUUGUGUUUCUAACAACCAGUUUUGGCUGGAUAGGAAUGUUUGUUGGUUUUUUGAUGAGAGAAUAAAGUUAAAAAUUUCAAAGU
rnacentral:lncRNA from 1 species